AAUAUUGGACAAUGGGGGCAACCCUGAUCCAGCCAUGCCGCGUGUGUGAAGAAGGUCUUCGGACUGUAAAGCACUGUAAGUUGGGAGGAAGGGCUUUAGGUUAAUACCCUGAAGUUUUGACGUUACCAACAGAAUAAGCACCGGCUAACUCUGUGCCAGCAGCCGCGGUAAUACAGAGGGUGCAAGCGUUAAUCGGAAUUACUGGGCGUAAUGGCGGCGGAGGUGGUUCAGUAACAUGGGUGUGAAAUCCCCGGGCUUAACCUGGGAACUGCUUUCAUAACUGCUGAGCUAGAGUACGGUAGAGGGUAGUGGAAUUUCCUGUGUAGCGGUGAAAUGCGUAGAUAUAGGAAGGAACACCAGUGGCGAAGGCGACUACCUGGACUGAUACUGACACUGAGGUGCGAAAGCGUGGGGAGCAAACA
rnacentral:rRNA from 1 species